rnacentral:rRNA from 1 species
AGCAAACGCUGGCGGCAGGCCUAACACAUGCAAGUCGAACGGACCUUUCGGGGUUAGUGGCGGACGGGUGAGUAACACGUGGGAACGUGCCUUUAGGUUCGGAAUAGCUCCUGGAAACGGGUGGUAAUGCCGAAUGUGCCCUUAGGGGGAAAGAUUUAUCGCCUUUAGAGCGGCCCGCGUCCGAUUAGCUAGUUGGUGAGGUAAUGGCUCACCAAGGCUACGAUCAGUAGCUGGUCUGAGAGGAUGACCAGCCACAUUGGGACUGAGACACGGCCCAAACUCCUACGGGAGGCAGCAGUGGGGAAUCUUGCGCAAUGGGCGAAAGCCUGACGCAGCCAUGCCGCGUGGAUGAUGAAGGUCUUAGGAUUGUAAAAUCCUUUCACCGGUGAGGAUAAUGACUGUAGCCGGAGAAGAAGCCCCGGCUAACUUCGUGCCAGCCGCCGCGGUAA